GAAAAUAGCCUAUUAACAGGAUUACGUUAUUCUAGUUUAAUGUCUGAUUUAUUGAUUGCUUUUAGUCAUGUUAUCCCUACACGCAGUAAUUGUCCAAUAGGUGGCAGCAGUGGCGCUGCACAGAGGAAAAACUGCUACACUGAUUCCUAAGAGAAGAAGACCGAAGAAUCGCGAACAGCAGAACGAUAGUGAGCUGAAGCCCCAUUUAGACUUUCCACAUUGAGAAAAAAAAGUAAAAUUACAUUUAAGAGCUAGUUAAACGGGUUUUUCUCACCAAACCUACUUCUAAGGCAGGAAUAAUAGAGCAAAGGGUCGAAAUUACGUCAAGGAGUUUACCUACUUGUGUGAUUUUUCUCCGGUUGGUUUUUUUUGGGAUGCAGGAUUAGAGAGAGAGUGUUCCAUUGGACAAAUUCACCAUCGGACACGUGAGGCAGAAGAGCAGAGGGCGUGAGCAUCGUUUGGCCUGCAACACGAACUGCUUCUACUUACCCAUUCUCCAUUGCUUCGUACAGAUAAGCGCGAGAUUCCACCACACUAAAAAAAAAAAAAGCAUACUACCCGGGUAGAUGGACUUUGGUUUAUUAUUUUGAGGUUAUUUCAUCAGAGCUCUGAGGGGAUUUUAUUUUAUUUUUUUUUUCAAUUUGUGUGAAAAAAUUUAAGACUAAGAGGAAUACUGAUUUCACAACAAAAAAA